CACUUCAGUUGGUUCUGCUAUAAGAGUUGUGCCAUCAUUCCUUUCUGCAACAUUGGCUUUUUCAGUCCUUUUAUGAAGACUGUGCUUCAUCUGUGGAACAGAAGUUAAGAGUAGAAUAAGACUUCAUAAACAUGCCAACUGAAUCUGCAUAAUCCAGUUGUUCAAGAUUUCAAAACUGGGACAUGUUUGCACAUGUUCAAAACUGAAAGUGUGAAGUUAUCUCCUCCAUGGCUACCUCAUUAUGACUGUCUAAUAUGAGUGCAAGAAGUAUUUUGGAAGGAAAAGUCAAGAAAACACAAAAGAAGGCAAGAAUAAUCCAGAGUUUAGCAGCUACACAAAAUUCAGAGGCUUUAAGAUGUUUAAUUUGCCACUUUUUCUGAUGAACUACAUCGAAAAUUUGAAGCGCAGGGAGUGGAGAGGAAGGAAACCAGGCUACAACAACCCCACGAUGACUCCGUGGCUAUCAAGAUGCAAUCGGAAGCUAACAAGUAAACUUGAUGGUAAUGGACAUUUCUUGUUGAUCCCUGCACCUGGCUUUCUCAAGGAUAUUGUCUCUGAACGUGGAGGUUUAAUUUAGCUACCAUGGCUAAUAACCAUUAAAAGAUUUAUCCUGCAUUAUUUGUCUAAACCUUUAAAAGAUUGAAGCUG